UACGAAGGGGGCUAGCGUUGUUCGGAAUUACUGGGCGUAAAGCGCACGUAGGCGGAUUGUUAAGUCGGGGGUGAAAUCCUGAGGCUCAACCUCAGAACUGCCUUCGAUACUGGCGAUCUUGAGUUCGGAAGAGGUUGGUGGAACAGCUAGUGUAGAGGUGAAAUUCGUAGAUAUUAGCUAGAACACCAGUGGCGAAGGCGGCCAACUGGUCCGACACUGACGCUGAGGUGCGAAAGCGUGGGGAGCAAACAGG
rnacentral:rRNA from 1 species